AACAACGAUUUUGAUGUCUGAGUUAUUUAUUCUUAGGCCGAAAUCCUGUCACCUUAGGUCGAUCGGUACCUCAACUUUGAAGCUAAGAGAGAACCAGCAAUGGUGAUCUGCUUAGUGGAGAUUUUUAGUUCCUAAACUUUGUCUAGUUCACAACCCAUUAGGGAUGAGACUCCUGGGCCAUUAGCUCAGGUGGUUAGAGCGCACCCCUGAUAAGGGUGAGGUCCCUGGUUCAAGUCCAGGAUGGCCCAUUCGGUGUAGGGGGUUUAGCUCAGUUGGUAGAGCGCCUGCUUUGCAAGCAGGAUGUCAGGAGUUCGAGUCUCCUAACCUCCACUGACUACCAAAAUCCCCAUCUCCAAAACCUGGAGUAUGAACUCGUAUGGAUUGUGAUUUAGAUGUGUCCGCUAGAUGACCCUAGCUUCUUGUCAUUUUAAGACAUGGAAAUUGUUCCAUGAUUUGAUUGAUAGGAUGCUGGGCUCGAUCCAAUGUAUUGAGAGAUCAAUGCAUUGUUUUGAUGUCUGGCCGAACCUUGACAACUGCAUAGUAAAAGUCUGGAAAGAAUAAAGCAUCUCAUAGAUGCAUCAUUCUUGAAUGUUAAUUCAGGAUGGAAUGGUGUUAAUUCUAAGAGCAAGAGCCGAGACUCCAGCAUGUUCUUUCAAAUGUGUCGAGCAUUUGAGAGUUUGAUUUUAAUUUCUACUUGUAGAAGUUAGGAGAAUCUGUUUCAACGACAGCAAGCGUGUUGGAGAUACAUUGGUCAAGCUACAAAGGGCUCACGGCGGAUACCUUGGCACACAGAGGCGAUGAAGGACGUGGUUACCUGCGAUAAGUCUCGGGGAGCUGGAAACACGCUUUGAUCCGGGA
rnacentral:misc_RNA from 1 species